rnacentral:lncRNA from 1 species
AGGAUAGAUGUAUCUUCAAUCUAUGGUGUGGAGACAUCAGAGUGAGAGUACAGAUAUUCAUUGAGAAUGAGAGUACUGAACGUGACCACUUCGAGCAAUCAUAAGGAAGUCUACCUUCUCAUCGAUGACUAGCUCGAUGCUGCAGUUGUGUGUCUAGUUCUUUGACCUGAGGUGCAUCGACAGUUCACCUUGAGUGUGUUAUAGUUUGACUACACCAUAAC